CAAGUGGACAUUUCCAAUUGGGGGAAUCUCUUCUCCCAGUGAUGAUUCAGAGGCCCAGGCUCCUGCCAUCUUGUGGCUCUUCCAUCUUUGACCCAGGGCUUCCAAAAAUGUUGACUUGGGGGAACAGGACUGGAGGAUCUUCAAGGAAAGGUUUUCUAGGAAGACCUAGAAAUAGCCACACCAGUUUCUCUUGUAGUUAUUUACCUAAAACUUCACUGGAGUGUUGAAGAGAAGGCAGACACACCCACCAAGGCCCAAGCAGAGUUUUUAAUGCAGCGAAGACUUACGACCUCAGCGUGCUUCGUCAGUAAGCUCCCGGAAGGACACAGAUGCUGUAUGUUGGUUCCACUGAAACUUCCAGAGCCCCUCUCCAGGAUCCUGACUGGCAGAGCCCCUUACAACGUGGUCCGCUUUCCCUGUUUCUACCUGCAGAUGAACAUUGCCACGGAUGGAGGCUGGAACUCUGCCAUGGUGGAGGAGCCAGAAGGCUGCGGCAAAUGAAAGCAUUUGCAUGGUCUCAAAAUGUCAGGAUGGUAUGGAUGUUCUCUCCAAGAUUGCCAGCUCCUCCAGUCAGAUAUUCAUCUUUACUCCCUUUAUGCCUCCCAGAGCAUGGCGCACGUAGAUGCUCAGUGAAUACCAACUGGUGGAAAGGUAAUAGGGACGUGUAUUACACGGACUGCAAAUACACGGACUGCCAUUGUCCCAUUUUCCCAGAGCGGGCUUGAGGUCAGACGAGAAGAGUUCAGCACAGAGGGGGUAAGUGCCUUGGCCAGAAUCAAUGCACCCGGCAAGAAGCAGAGCCAGGGUUCUAGGUGGGUCUGCCUCCAAACUUACACUCCUCAUCACAGCCUAACGAGGCUUUUACACUGGGUAGUGCAUGAUAGCUGAUCAGCUUCUAGCAAAGCUUGUGACGCAGAGAAAUUAUUCUGUUAAUAUUUAUUUAAUAUGUAGACCCAGGAUCUCUCUGAUAGAUACACAACACUUCAUUUUAUGGUUGGGUAUGCUGAGGGUCAGUGUGGCCAAGUGACUUCCAAAGGCCACAAAGCUAGUGAAGAAUGGAAUGAGGUCAGGAGACCAGGUCUCCUCAACUUCAAUCCAGAGCUGCCCCUUUUGCUUAGGACUGGAGGGCAGCUGACAACUGUAUUCUCAGUCGAGGUGGAAGCUUCUUUGGUUCCUGGCCUGUACUGGCUCUAAAUCCCAUUUUCAGCAACACACACUUUGGACACUUGAGAUUUAAGGUGCUGUCUCCACUUAAGAUCACAAAAAUGUGGUAAAUAGUGUUUUUGAUUUGUAACACUACCAGCAUUUCUGACAUUUGAGUGGCACUACAUAGUUCACAAAAUUGGUUUACAAAUAUUCUCAUGUAGUCCUUACCAUUUCCUGCACUGACACUAGACUUUAGCUUUUUUUUUUUUUUUUUUUUAAGAUUUUAUUUUCUUAGGUAAUCUCUACACCCAACAUGGGGCUCGAACUCAGAACGCUGAGAUCAACAGUCACAUGCUCCACCAACUGAGCCAGCCAGGCAGCCCUACCCCCCUGCCUUUUUUUUUUUUUUUAAGAUUUUAUUUAUCUUUAAAUUUUAUUCAUUUAUUUAUUUAUUUUUGACACAAGACUUCAAAAUUGGGUUGAUUCUUCUAGAACCUCACCCUUAUCAACAUCUAAUAUAAAAGGAAAUCCAAUGCUACUAAAUAGCUAUCAAGUAAUCUCACAGGUCUUUCCCCUUCCCACUCUAUCACAUUAUCUUUGGUUUGAUUUUACCUCCUUAGCGCUGACUUUGGUUUCCUUCUCUAUCUCACCCAAAAAUGCCUCUUUCUCUGUGCUUGGCACGUAAACCUCUACUCUCUUGCUGGGUUCUUAUUUAAUCCAUGCUAGGGUCUUGGAAGCUCACCUAUCACAAGAAUAAGGUCCCAGAUUCAGGUAGCAUCUGCCUCGAUGCGUCAGGUCUGUGCUUAAGGACCAGCUUGUGAAUAAGGGUUUCUGUGUUUCUCAAAUGAGGAAAUAGGCUCACACAGUCCAUGUAACUUGCUUAAGAGUAGAGCAGAGCCUGCUGGUUGUUCCUCAAAACUCAUCUCAUUAAUUUUUGCCAAUAUGACUUGAGAUUUUUAGCUGGCCACAUGGUCUAAAAUAAGACUACAGUUCUUAUAGUCACCUGACCAAGUUCUAACUACUGGGAUGUAAGCAGAAGGCAGAUACGGCGGCCUGGAGGACAUCUGUUAAGUACCUUCUGCUCCCUUUCUUCUUCAACGUCUCUUCCUGUGUGAUGGCUGCAAUGUGAACUGGAUGGAUGAAGCCCAAGAAGUUGUCUUAAGGUAUGAUGUGGAAGCCGCGUGUGAAAGACGGUGGAACAACGAAAUAUUAGACUUCACCCUACGAGACUGUAAACUUCUGGAUUCUGUGAUAUGACAGCCACAUCUUUCAUUUGCCAAGUUACUGUGUCACAGGAAAGUGGCAGUGCUGUGAUUUCUGCUGACUUCCUUCAGCAGACAUUCGGCAACAGGUUUUCUUCAGCUCUUAGCUACUGACUGUCCAUCUUCAGCCAAUGCACCAUAAUGAGCCCUGGAAGAUGCGUCCGUGGAUUUUCCACUUUAGUUUGAAAAGUUGCAACAAACAGUUGUUGGCUUAAAGGGCUUAUUGCACCUUGAUUUAAAAUAUUCCAUUUCUGUUUCCCCAACUCUGGAUGCUUGAUUUUAGAAUAACAUCUCAAUUUAACUGGCACCUUAAUACUAUUAAAAAAUGCUGCAUUGCUGGGGCGCCUGGGUGGCUCAGACGGUUGAGCGUCUGACUUCGGCCCAGGUCAUAAUCGCCCAGUUUGUGGGUUUGAGCCCCGCGUCGGACUCUGUGCUGACAGCUUGGAGCCUGGAGCCUGCUUCGGAUUCUGUGUCUCCCUUUCUCUCUGCCCCUCCCCUGCUCAUGCUCUGUCUCUCUCUGUCUCAAUAAAAAUAAAAACAUUAAAGAAAAUGUUGUAUUGUGUGAUAUGUAAUCAAGUAAAAUGUUUUUUUCCACAGUCACAUUUUUACUUACAGUUCUCUAUAUGCUUUCCUCAUAUUACAGUUUUCGGCAUAUCUUUUUCAGCAUACUGUUCAUAUAUUUAGAGGUAAAUGGUGCAGAUGGAACGUAAGAACAAAUCUUCCAAUCUCCCUUUUUAAGCCAAUGAUCUAUGCUAAAAUACAAGUGUAAAAAUAAAUACAGCAAAGUGUACUUAUUGCCUGUUGUUUUCAUGUUGGCACAAGGUCAUUUUGGAAUUUCAAACAAAUGAUUUUUGGACAAAAAUAGGUUACAAAGGUUAAAGCAGACAUUUCCAAAGUAAAGCUAAAACCACAGCAGAAGUACUAAAGAAUAAGCCUGAGUUAAUCUCAGAAAAUGUACACAUUUAUUUUCUAAAACUACAACAUUAGAAAAUUCUAGAAAUCACGAUAAUGCACACCGAUGCUGUUAGUCAUCAGAGGGAUGGUGUCAUCACAUAUUAUAAAGAAUCUCGCAAAGUCCACCGUGGACUCG